rnacentral:lncRNA from 1 species
AACUAACGUUAUGGAUGGAUAGUAAAUCUUGCUAAUGGACGAUUGACGUCAGAGGUGCUUUGUGUAUUAAUCUGGAAUCUCAUGGGUGGUUAGUAUAAAAUGAAAAAAUAUAUUACAAGUUUCAAACCUCAAGGAAGGUCACUGUCAUUUUUUAAACAUGAGGAGUACUUUAUGUAUUAAUUCAAAAUCUCAUGGGUGUUCAUCGUAUUUCACCCUAUUUUUUAUAUGCUUUGAUUUUUUCUUAUUUCUGACAAAACCCAGUAUUGGAAGCUCAAAACCACUAACAUAUUAUUUUGGGAGCUCCAACUUUUCCUUUCGUUGUUGGGCUGGUGGUGAUUUUGAAUUAGUGGGCUCCAAUGGGCU